UUUAUGGAGAGUUUGAUCCUGGCUCAGGAUGAACGCUGGCGGCGUGCCUAAUACAUGCAAGUCGAGCGAACGGACGAGAAGCUUGCUUCUCUGAUGUUAGCGGCGGACGGGUGAGUAACACGUGGAUAACCUACCUAUAAGACUGGGAUAACUUCGGGAAACCGGAGCUAAUACCGGAUAAUAUUUUGAACCGCAUGGUUCAAAAGUGAAAGACGGUCUUGCUGUCACUUAUAGAUGGAUCCGCGCUGCAUUAGCUAGUUGGUAAGGUAACGGCUUACCAAGGCAACGAUGCAUAGCCGACCUGAGAGGGUGAUCGGCCACACUGGAACUGAGACACGGUCCAGACUCCUACGGGAGGCGACAGUAGGGAAUCUUCCGCAAUGGGCGAAAGCCUGACGGAGCAACGCCGCGUGAGUGAUGAAGGUCUUCGGAUCGUAAAACUCUGUUAUUAGGGAAGAACAUAUGUGUAAGUAACUGUGCACAUCUUGACGGUACCUAAUCAGAAAGCCACGGCUAACUACGUGCCAGCGUGCCGGGUAAUACGUAGGUGGCAAGCGUUAUCCGGAAUUAUUGGGCGUAAAGCGCGCGUAGGCGGUUUUUUAAGUCUGAUGUGAAAGCCCACGGCUCAACCGUGGAGGGUCAUUGGAAACUGGAAAACUUGAGUGCAGAAGAGGAAAGUGGAAUUCCAUGUGUAGCGGUGAAAUGCGCAGAGAUAUGGAGGAACACCAGUGGCGAAGGCGACUUUCUGGUCUGUAACUGACGCUGAUGUGCGAAAGCGUGGGGAUCAAACAGGAUUAGAUACCCUGGUAGUCCACGCCGUAAACGAUGAGUGCUAAGUGUUAGGGGGUUUCCGCCCCUUAGUCUUUGCGACUAACGCAUUAAGCACUCCGCCUGGGGAGUACGACCGCAAGGUUGAAACUCAAAGGAAUUGACGGGGACCCGCACAAGCGGUGGAGCAUGUGGUUUAAUUCGAAGCAACGCGAAGAACCUUACCAAAUCUUGACAUCCUUUGACAACUCUAGAGAUAGAGCCUUCCCCUUCGGGGGACAAAGUGACAGGUGGUGCAUGGUUGUCGUCAGCUCGUGUCGUGAGAUGUUGGGUUAAGUCCCGCAACGAGCGCAACCCUUAAGCUUAGUUGCCAUCAUUAAGUUGGGCACUCUAAGUUGACUGCCGGUGACAAACCGGAGGAAGGUGGGGAUGACGUCAAAUCAUCAUGCCCCUUAUGAUUUGGGCUACACACGUGCUACAAUGGACAAUACAAAGGGCAGCGAAACCGCGAGGUCAAGCAAAUCCCAUAAAGUUGUUCUCAGUUCGGAUUGUAGUCUGCAACUCGACUACAUGAAGCUGGAAUCGCUAGUAAUCGUAGAUCAGCAUGCUACGGUGAAUACGUUCCCGGGUCUUGUACACACCGCCCGUCACACCACGAGAGUUUGUAACACCCGAAGCCGGUGGAGUAACCUUUUAGGAGCUAGCCGUCGAAGGUGGGACAAAUGAUUGGGGUGAAGUCGUAACAAGGUAGCCGUAUCGGAAGGUGCGGCUGGAUCACCUCCUUU
rnacentral:rRNA from 1 species